UGGGGAAUAUUGCGCAAUGGGCGAAAGCCUGACGCAGCAACGCCGCGUGAGUGAUGAAGGCCUUCGGGUCGUAAAGCUCUGUCGGAGGGAACGAAUGCUCCUGAAGUUAACAGCCUCAGGAGGUGACGGUACCCUCAAAGGAAGCACCGGCUAACUCUGUGCCAGCAGCCGCGGUAAUACAGAGGGUGCAAGCGUUGUUCGGAAUCAUUGGGCGUAAAGGGCGUGUAGGCGGUAUGUUAAGUCAUGUGUGAAAUCCCUCGGCUCAACCGGGGAACGACGCAUGAAACUGGCAAGCUAGAGUACCAAAGAGGGUGGUGGAAUUCCAGGUGUAGCGGUGAAAUGCGUAGAUAUCUGGAGGAACACCGGUGGCGAAGGCGACAUCCUGGACCAAUUCUGACGCUGAGGAGCGAAAGCCAGGGGAGCAAACGGGAUUAGAUACCCCCGUAGUCCCUGAGCGGGCUGGCAAGGCGCAU
rnacentral:rRNA from 1 species